CACACUUUUCUGGGUUAAACACACAUUUGUCCAAGACCACUACUUUUUUUACAUUAGGUUACAAUAUGAAAAGUGCAACUUCUACACCAAAAUUAAAAAUAUUAAAUGGUCUUUUAACUUGUCUUAACCUUCCAAUCUUAGCUCACAGCCCUUUUUCUCUGCACUGAUCCAAAAAUAGCUCCUCGCACCUUUACCACUUAAUAGAAACAGGGUCUCUGAUAUGGUGCCGCUGUCAGACUCCUCUCCCUCUCCCCUCCACUUGGCUGCUUCUCCAUCCCAGCUGCUGCCACUUACUUCAUCACCUCUUCUGCCUUCAUAAGGAGCCUCUGGAUCACCAGUCUUCGCCAGUCCGUUGCCCCUGAUGGAAUCCAUUGUCACAAGUGGUCGCCUGCAUCAACUUCUGUCUGGAACCUUCCCUCCGUUCGCUCCCGCUGGUCCCACCUCGAGCCUCUGCCGUCUUCUGCCAUCUCUCGGACCCCCUCCGACGUCAACUCCUUCCGACUGUCUGCAGAAAGAUCCAACAGUGACGCCACUCGAGUUUGAUCUUCACUCUCUGGGAACCCUAGAUCCUGCCCACGGCUUUCUGUCUGUUCACUAUUAAAACCUCUUACCUGCCA